UGGGGAAUAUUGCACAAUGGGGGAAACCCUGAUGCAGCGACGCCGCGUGAGCGAAGAAGUAUUUCGGUAUGUAAAGCUCUAUCAGCAGGGAAGAUAGUGACGGUACCUGACUAAGAAGCCCCGGCUAACUACGUGCC
rnacentral:rRNA from 1 species